rnacentral:rRNA from 1 species
UAGGGAAUCUUCCGCAAUGGGCGAAAGCCUGACGGAGCAACGCCGCGUGAGUGAUGAAGGUCUUCGGAUCGUAAAACUCUGUUAUUAGGGAAGAACAAAUGUGUAAGUAACUAUGCACGUCUUGACGGUACCUAAUCAGAAAGCCACGGCUAACUACUUGCCAGCAGCCGCGGUAAUACGUAGGUGGCAAGCGUUAUCCGGAAUUAUUGGGCGUAAAGCGCGCGUAGGCGGUGUUUUAAGUCUGAUGUGAAAGCCCACGGCUCAACCGUGGAGGGUAAUUGGAAGCUGGAAAACUUGAGUGCAGAAGAGGAAAGUGGAAUUCCAUGUGUAGCAGUGAAAUGCGCAGAGAUAUGGAGGAACACCAGUGGCGAAGGCGACUUUCUGGUCUGUAACUGACGCUGAUGUGCGAAAGCGUGGGGAUCAAACAGG